UGAGGAAUAUUGGUCAAUGGGCGAGAGCCUGAACCAGCCAAGUAGCGUGCAGGAUGAAGGCCCUAUGGGUUGUAAACUGCUUUUAUGUGGGGAUAAAGUGCGCGACGUGUCAGGCAUUGCAGGUACCACAUGAAUAAGGAGCGGCUAAUUCCGUGCCAGCAGCCGCGGUAAUAUGGAAGGUCCGGGCGUUAUCCGUAUUUAUUGGGUUUAAAGGGAGCGUAGGCUGUCUAUUAAGCGUGUUGUGAAAUUUACCGGCUCAACCGGUGGCUUGCAGCGCCAACUGGUCGACUUGAGUAUGCAUGAAGUAGGCGGAAUUCAUGGUGUAGCGGUGAAAUGCUUAGAUAUCAUGACGAACUCCGAUUGCGCAGGCAUCUUACUGUGGCAUAACUGACGCUGAUGCUCGAAAGUGCGGGUAUCAAACAGG
rnacentral:rRNA from 1 species